CCCAUAGUGUGAGGAGGCCUAGGACAGUUACAGAAGCCAUGUGUAGGUGUUCUGGCUCCAGCAAAAGUCUUAUCUGACAACAUCAACUACAUGUUAGUUGGUAUAACCUCAUCCUGGAGCAGGGCACCCUAUCGUCAGAUGGUAUCAUCUUUAAGGGGUUGUCUCAGCCAUGCCUUUAGAAUUACCUUUCAUUGCUUGUCAUGCUGGAAGCUUCUGAAUGUUGCAUUUUGUGAUAGAAACAGUGGGUACCAUGGUCAUGUGCUCACAUCUCCUUUGCGGUAAAGAAAAGGAUCACUCAUUAACAUCCACCAGAUAACAUUCUCCAUGAAAGCACCAAAUAAGGUUUGUCUUGGUCCAUUUUAUGCUGCUAUAACAGAACACCACAGACUGAGAAAUUUAUAAGGAAUAGAAGUUUAUUUGCCUCAUGUUUCUGGAGGCUGGGAAUUCCAAGAUCAAGGGGCUGCAUAGAUUGAGGUCCUUUUUGCUGAGUCAUAACGUGGAAAGAGAGUGCACUGCAUAGAAGAAAGGAGGCCAAACUCAUUCUUUUAUCAUGAGCCUACUCCUGAAAUAACUCACUCUCAAGAUAAUGGCAUUAAUCCAUUCAUGAAGGCAGAACACUCAUGAUGUAAUCACCUCUUAAAAGGUCCUAUUUCCUAACACUGUUGCAUUGGGGAUUAAGCUUUCAACACAUGAAUAUUGGGGGACACAUUCAAACCAUAGCAAGAGUUCUUUGUCUGUGUGACUCGGUGUGGUUCAGCAAAUUGCGAUUGGUCUGCUAUAGCGGACUUUCCCCUCACCUCCCAAAUGUUUAUUAUGAAAAAUUUCAAUUUAAAGAAAGGUGGAAGGAAUUGUUGAAA
rnacentral:lncRNA from 1 species